rnacentral:misc_RNA from 1 species
AAGUCGUAACAAGGUUUCCGUAGGUGAACCUGCGGAAGGAUCAUUAACACGUAUCCACACGUAUUCCACCCUCAUGUGAAUUUGUUUUCAACCCCCCUUCUGACUCGUCUCAACAGCGAGUUUUAUUGUUUCAUCCAAAAACAAACCCUUCUCACCUCUAUAACUUUUGCUAGUUGACUUUGUUGAUAUGAGUAUGCUCGCAUGUUCACACAUGCGUGUGUAUUUGUUACUUUUCACAUUUCCAUAUGAAAACUAACGCCACAAACAACUCUUAGCAAUGGAUAUCUUGGUUCUC